UGUCUACCUGAAGCCUUCUAAAGGUCCCAGCUGUCCCCAGGAAGCGGCCACACCUCUGCUGCUCACAGACAUACGUCACGAGAAGCACCCUCAGCUCGGCUCCCAUCCCACACCACGUCCCUACCAGCAGAGCCAUCUGAAUGCAGUUUGCCCACGUUCUGCUCGUUAAUGGCUGCCCACAAAGCUUGCAAAGUCUCAGAUGUGUGUCCAAUCUGUUGGUUGCGGUGGGAUGAUCAGAAGGCAUCAGAAAGACUUGUGACUAUCCUAAAAUGCUUGGAGAAGUUUGCUUGAGUCGCUGAUAUUUCAGAACAAUGCUCUUCUCUAAGACUUCAAGCCAUCCCUUCACAAAUUGGAUUUCUGCACAAAACCAUGUGAUGGAUGGCGUUGGCUGUGUGCUGGGGGGGAUAGGAUUUCUGCUGGAGCUCAGCUAGCAGAGGGAGUGGUGUAACGCGUACUGAACUGUUUUACUGUAGCAUGUUUUUCUCUGAGCCCUUUUUCACAGCCUCUCCUGGAACACAAACUGCAGCAUUUGAGCUUUGAGCUGAACUUUCAAAUCCAUCGUGUUCAAGUGGGUUCAAUAUCAGGCUGAAAGAGUUUGUCUGUUCUGAGGAAUCACUGAAAUGCAUUAAUAAGAGCUCCUUACACUCUACUGAGCAUCCUAAGAAACAAGGAAGAAACGACCAGAUCCAAAGGAAACUGAGGGUUGCUGGAUCAGUAAUGCACUUUUCUGCACUGCAUCUUUACAUCUCAUCACAGGGCAGCGUCUGUCAAAGGGCAGCCUCCAGUUCUCAUUAAAUUUGUCAUUGGCAUUGCCUGCCACUGGUAUCACCCAUCAGGAGAUCAUUACGCAGAUCGGCAGCUAUUAUUUUUGUACUAGUAAUGAAAUAGAGAGAAAAUUGGUGGCACAGCAUUAAUGCACAUCAUGAAGAGUGCCUGAUGAGUCCCAGGUCCCGCAGCUCAGUGGGUUCCCUGGAUCUAUAUCUGAGCUUUAUAGAAAACCUCAGCUCCUGCAGCACCUCUCGGCAAAGGUACCGGCUGCCUCCAUCCUGGGGGCAGUUGGUACAGGGGGGGCCAGCGGCUGCCAGCACAGCCCUGCCCCCUAACCCAAACCUCUGGGUCCUGCUGGGACAGGAAGGGACUGUGGGCUGCUUUCUGCUGUGACCCUGGUGCUGUUACUGCUGGGAGAAGCAGGGAGUGGGCUAUGGGCACGGAGAGGGUUGUGGAGAGCAUCGUGGAGAGGGUUGCUGCCCAUGCUUGUAGCUGUGUUCCACAACAAUGGAAUCCAGGACUAGAGCUGAUGUGCAGAGCAUGCAGCCAUCCACCCCCAUUCCCAACCCCACAGCAGAACUCCUGUGAGCUCUCUCUGUGAGUUAUCCACACCGACUUUCAGCAUUUCUUUGCCAGGCAGAGUGAGAGAAGGACGCUUGGCAACGCCUCUCCAACUGGGAGAGAUUUUCCUACAAAACAGGAAGGAGCAACCAGCAGCACUAAGGAUGUGUGCAUCAUUCAUUAGGAUACCCGAGCCUGAGCGUGGUGUGCAGGCCGUGAGCCCAGCCAGCUGUGGGAGCUGCUUGGCAGAGCACUGGGAACCAGCAAAUAGCUCUGCAGCGAGGGGCUGCCGCACGGCUCACCAGCAUAGCAUCAGUCUGUGGACCACAGAUGUGCCUCCAAACCUUAGCUUGGUGCACAGGGAGUUCGAAAUAAACUGAAGGAAUCACAAAUAGUCAGAACAUGACGUGAUGUUGUGGUGGUUUUUUUUGUAAUCUGAAGUUUGAUUCUCAUUAACUAC
rnacentral:lncRNA from 1 species